rnacentral:rRNA from 1 species
GACGAACGCUGGCGGCGUGCUUAACACAUGCAAGUCGAGCGGUAAGGCCCCUUCGGGGUACGACGAGCGGCGAACGGGUGAGUAACACGUGGGUGACCUGCCCUCAGCUCUGGGAUAAGCCUGGGAAACUGGGUCUAAUACCGGAUAUGACUCCAUGACGCAUGUCGUGGGGUGGAAAGCCUUGUGCGGCUGGGGGAUGGGCCCGCGGCCUAUCAGCUUGUUGGUGGGGUGAGGCCUACCAAGGCGACGACGGGUAGCCGGCCUGAGAGGGCGACCGGCCACACUGGGACUGAGACACGGCCCAGACUCCUACGGGAGGCAGCAGUGGGGAAUCUUGCGCAAUGGGCGAAAGCCUGACGCAGCGACGCCGCGUGA